rnacentral:rRNA from 1 species
GACGAACGCUGGCGGCGUGCUUAACACAUGCAAGUCGAACGGAAAGGCCCUGCUUUUGUGGGGUGCUCGAGUGGCGAACAGGUGAGUAACACGUGAGUAACCUGCCCUUUACUUUGGGAUAACUUCAGGAAACUGGGGCUAAUACCGGAUAUGAGCUCCUGCUGCAUGGUGGGGGUUGGAAAGUUUCGGCGGUUGGGGAUGGACUCGCGGCUUAUCAGCUUGUUGGUGGGGUAGUGGCUUACCAAGGCUUUGACGGGUAGCCGGCCUGAGAGGGUGACCGGCCACAUUGGGACUGAGAUACGGCCCAGACUCCUACGGGAGGCAGCAGUGGGGAAUAUUGCACAAUGGGCGGAAGCCUGAUGCAGCAACGCCGCGUGCGGGAUGACGGCCUUCGGGUUGUAAACCGCUUUCGCCUGUGACGAAGCGUGAGUGACGGUAAUGGGUAAAGAAGCACCGGCUAACUACGUG